AUUGAACGCUGGCGGCAGGCCUAACACAUGCAAGUCGAGCGGUAGAGAGAAGCUUGCUUCUCUUGAGAGCGGCGGACGGGUGAGUAAUGCCUAGGAAUCUGCCUGGUAGUGGGGGAUAACGUUCGGAAACGGACGCUAAUACCGCAUACGUCCUACUGGAGAAAGCAGGGGACCUUCGGGCCUUGCGCUAUCAGAUGAGCCUAGGUCGGAUUAGCUAGUUGGUGGGGUAAUGGCUCACCAAGGCGACGAUCCGUAACUGGUCUGAGAGGAUGAUCAGUCACACUGGAACUGAGGCACGGUCCAGACUCCUACGGGAGGCAGCAGUGGGGAAUAUUGGACAAUGGGCGAAAGCCUGAUCCAGCAAUGCCGCGUGUGUGAAGAAGGUCUUCGGAUUGUAAAGCACUUUAAGUUGGGAGGAAGGGCAGUAAAUUAAUACGUUGCUGUUUUGACGUUACCGACAGAAUAAGCACCGGCUAACUCUGUG
rnacentral:rRNA from 1 species